rnacentral:misc_RNA from 1 species
UCCGGCUUAUCACCGGCAGUCCCUCUAGAGUGCCCAACUAAAUGAUGGCAACUAAAGGCGAGGGUUGCGCUCGUUGCGGGACUUAACCCAACAUCUCACGACACGAGCUGACGACAGCCAUGCAGCACCUGUGUUCUAGCCAGCCGAACUGAAGAAUCUCAUCUCUGAAACCCAUACUAGACAUGUCAAGGGUAGGUAAGGUGGGGAUGACGUUCGUCUGAC